rnacentral:rRNA from 1 species
CAGCAGCCGCGGGAAUACGAAGGGUGCAAGCGUUAAUCGGAAUUACUGGGCGUAAAGCGUGCGCAGGCGGUUUGUUAAGACAGAUGUGAAAUCCCCGGGCUCAACCUGGGAACUGCAUUUGUGACUGGCAAGCUAGAGUGUGGCAGAGGGGGGUGGAAUUCCGCGUGUAGCAGUGAAAUGCGUAGAUAUGCGGAGGAACACCGAUGGCGAAGGCAGCCCCCUGGGCCAACACUGACGCUCAUGCACGAAAGCGUGGGGAGCAAACAGGAUUAGAUACCCCAGUAGUCCCUGUCCCUUAACA